GACGAACGCUGGCGGCGUGCUUAACACAUGCAAGUCGAACGGAAAGGCCCUGCUUUUGUGGGGUGCUCGAGUGGCGAACGGGUGAGUAACACGUGAGUAACCUGCCCUUGACUUUGGGUUAACUUCAGGAAACUGGGGCUAAUACCGGAUAGGAGCUCCUGCUGCAUGGGGGGGGUUGGAAAGUUUCGGCGGUUGGGGAUGGACUCGCGGCUUAUCAGCUUGUUGGUGGGGUAGUGGCUUACCAAGGCUUUGACGGGUAGCCGGCCUGAGAGGGUGACCGGCCACAUUGGGACUGAGAUACGGCCCAGACUCCUACGGGAGGCAGCAGUGGGGAAUAUUGCACAAUGGGCGGAAGCCUGAUGCAGCAACGCCGCGUGCGGGAUGACGGCCUUCGGGUUGUAAACCGCUUUCGCCUGUGACGAAGCGUGAGUGACGGUAAUGGGUAAAGAAGCACCGGCUAACUACGUG
rnacentral:rRNA from 1 species